rnacentral:rRNA from 1 species
GACGAACGCUGGCGGCGUGCCUAAUACAUGCAAGUCGAGCGAAUCUUUGGGGGCUUGCUCCCAAAAGUUAGCGGCGGACGGGUGAGUAACACGUGGGCAACCUGCCUAUAAGACUGGGAUAACUUCGGGAAACCGGAGCUAAUACCGGAUAGAUUCUUUUCUCUCAUGAGGAAAGAAGGAAAGACGGUUUCGGCUGUCACUUAUAGAUGGGCCCGCGGCGCAUUAGCUAGUUGGUAAGGUAACGGCUUACCAAGGCAACGAUGCGUAGCCGACCUGAGAGGGUGAUCGGCCACACUGGGACUGAGACACGGCCCAGACUCCUACGGGAGGCAG